rnacentral:rRNA from 1 species
GAUGAACGCUGGCGGCGUGCCUAAUACAUGCAAGUCGAACGAGGUGCUUGAGUAGCAAUACAAGAGUAUCCUAGUGGCGAACGGGUGAGUAACGCGUUGGUGACCUACCCCAAAGUGUGGGAUAACAGUCCGAAAGGAUUGCUAAUACCGCAUGUGGUUAUCGGGUUUAGAAACCGAUAACGAAAGGAGCAAUUCGCUUUGGGAGGGACCUGCGUCCCAUCAGCUAGUU